UUGCUGGAUUAUGAAUCUAAAAAGGAUGCAAUUUUUGCGGAGUUCUUGAAUCAGACACAUUAUGAUUUCAUUAAAAUCUGCAAGAAGCUCUCUCUCAACGUAUGUGAUUAAUAUGACGACAUUUCAAAGGACUUGCGCACCGCCAUGAAAUGCGUUUAUCGUAAGUCGAUAAAUUAAUUUUCAAGAUCGAUAUCGCGUGCAUUUAACGUCCGCCAUAAACUAUCGAAUCUCGCACAGUGAACUAGUUUCAACAACCAGACAGGUUACCCAGGCCAUCCUGCUUGAAUAUGAGAGUCGACGUCCUUAAACGCAUCGUAUGCCUCGUAACACUCAUCCGAUUAUCCGUUCAUUCAUUUCGCUUAAUUGCGCACACCGUUAUCAAGCUGCAUUUAAUCUGAACAUCCGUGGAAUGCUAUCCCAAGUUGUUUUAUAAAAAGAGAAGUUUAUUCGAAUAUAGACCACGUUAUGAUAAUGUGCGAGUGAAUAUGUGGGUAACUGUGCUUGAAGAGACAAGUGAGGUUAGUUACGCAGCACGCAAAACGAGAUGUUGAGUCAGAGGUUAAAAUUGUAAUAACAAAUGAAGGUUAUCGACAGUAAUUAAAACAAAAUUCACUUGGAGAUCAGUCACGC